rnacentral:rRNA from 1 species
AACACAUGCAAGUCGAGGGGCAGCAUGAAGUUUGCUUGCAAACUUUGAUCGGCGACCGGCGCACGGGUGCGUAACGCGUAUCCAACCUUCCCGUUACNCAGGGAUAGCCUUCCGAAAAGGGAGAUUAAUACCUGAUGGUGUUCAAAUUCCGCAUGUAUUUGAACUAAGAUUUAUCGGUAACGGAUGGGGAUGCGUGACAUUAGGUAGAUGGCGGGGUAACGGCCCACCAUGCCCACGAUGUCUAGGGGUUCUGAGAGGAAGGUCCCCCACACUGGAACUGAGACACGGUCCAGACUCCUACGGGAGGCAGCAGUGAGGAAUAUUGGUCAAUGGGCGCGAGCCUGAACCAGCCAAGUAGCGUACAGGAUGACGGCCCUAUGGGUUGUAAACUGCUUUUAUGCGGGAAUAAGAUCAGAUACGUGUAUCUGCGUGCAUGUACCGCAUGAAUAAGGACCGGCUAAUUCCGUG